rnacentral:rRNA from 1 species
UACAGAGGGUGCAAGCGUUGUUCGGAAUUACUGGGCGUAAAACGUGCGUAGUCGGUAUUGAGAGUCGCGGGUGAAAUCCCAGGGCUUAACCCUGGAACUGCCUGCGAGACCUCAGUACUAGAGUGUGAGAGGGGAUAGUGGAAUACCAAGUGUAGCGGUGAAAUGCGUAGAGAUUUGGUGGAACACCGGUGGCGAAGGCGGCUAUCUGGCUCACAACUGACGAUCAGGCACGAAAGCGUGGGGAGCAAACAGG